AACUAGCUAGCGUUAGGGAUUGAAACGGCAUCCUUUUUAUAGCGCUUUUUAACAAGCGUUAUUGCGAGGAACGAAGCAAUCUGUUUAUUAAUUAUGAGAUUGCCACAGGUUACAAAAAAAGAAACUUAGCAAUGACAGCUAUAAAAAGAUAUAGUGGAAAGCCCGACCUUUA
rnacentral:sRNA from 1 species